rnacentral:rRNA from 1 species
AACGGCCGUACCAUGCUGAAUAUACCGAUUCUCGUUAGAUCACCGAAGUCAAGCAUCAUUGGGCGCUUGGGUGGGUGACCACCUGGGAACACCGCGUGCCGUU